GACGAACGCUGGCGGCGUGCCUAAUACAUGCAAGUAGAACGCACAGUUUAUACCGUAGCUUGCUACACCAUAAACUGUGAGUUGCGAACGGGUGAGUAACGCGUAGGUAACCUGCCGGGUAGCGGGGGAUAACUAUUGGAAACGAUAGCUAAUACCGCAUAAUGUUUAUUAUUGCAUGAUAAUUGAUUGAAAGAUGCUAUUGCAUCGCUACCAGAUGGACCUGCGUUGUAUUAGCUAGUAGGUGAGGUAACGGCUCACGUAGGCGACGAUACAUAGCCGACCGGAGAGGGUGAUCGGCCACACUGGGACUGAGACACGGCCCAGAGUGAUAGGGGAGGCAGCAGUAGGGAAUCUUCGGCAAGGGACGAAAGUCUGACCGAGAAACGCGGCGUGAGUGAGGAGGGUUGUCGGAUCGUAAAGCUCGGUUGUAAGAGAAGAACGGGUGUGAGAGUGGAAAGUUCACACUGUGACGGUAUCUUACCAGAAAGGGACGGCUAACUACGUG
rnacentral:rRNA from 1 species